rnacentral:rRNA from 1 species
AGCAGUAGCCACGGGAAUACGUAGGGUGCGAGCGUUAAUCGGAAUUACUGGGCGUAAAGCGUGCGCAGGCGGUUUUGUAAGACAGGCGUGAAAUCCCCGGGCUCAACCUGGGAAUGGCGCUUGUGACUGCAAAGCUAGAGUGCGGCAGAGGGGGAUGGAAUUCCGCGUGUAGCAGUGAAAUGCGUAGAUAUGCGGAGGAACACCGAUGGCGAAGGCAAUCCCCUGGGCCUGCACUGACGCUCAUGCACGAAAGCGUGGGGAGCAAACAGGAUUAGAUACCCGGGUAGUCCCUGUCUCUUAUAC